rnacentral:lncRNA from 13 species
GGAGGGGUAAGGAAGAGAAGUCAAUCAACAGGAAGCAGAUGAUCAGCUAGGCAAUCAUGAUAGGCAAGAAGUCUGAUGUCUCAUUGUCCAGAUGUGGUAAUCUGGUAAGUUUCAGUUCCUUAAUACUAUCUGAGAGGCUUGAUUGUUGGUUUCUUGAGACAGGAGCUCAGAUAAGACAAAUAUAACUUUCUAAAGUUUCAAGACUGGGAGGGUCCAUUUCUGUGUUUAUUCACUCUUGUACUUUUUCUUGCUUUUGAUUAAUUUAACCCUGGCUUUGUCUUGACUUAAUUUCAUACUCUCCAACUGGAGGUGGAUGCAGACAUUAGAGGCAGAGACUGGAGACAAAUGGAAAGGGAAAGCAAAUCCAGGCAGUGGCACCAGGGUGGAGUGAAGUGGAAUGAACUCAGCUCACUGCAGCCUUUGCCUUCUGGGUUCAAGCAAUUCUCCUGUCACAGCCUUCUGAGUAGUAGGGACUACAGGCAGGGGAAAAGCAUAGGAAAGUGAAUUUAAAGGACUUCCCACUGGCUUGUGAGGGAGCGCAUUCCUUGGCUGGAAAAUGAGAGGCAAAGAGGACCAUCACAAGUAGAAUUAUUUCUGGUCAAAGGUAAGGAUCAACUGUUUUUGCAGAACAUGGUAUUUUCCAUAACGUCUCAUCCAUUGUUGGCUGAGGGCUGGUUCCAGGGACAUUAACUCCUUCAUACUUCUGACUUGUCCUGUAUGCUCUGGCUAAGCCUGCACCCACGGCCAGAAAAAAUAUAACAGCAAUAGAGUUGCAGGUAUUCAUCAUAAGCAGCCUUUGGGGGAUUGAGGCAAAUGCUGAGUAAUAUAAGUGGGGCACUGAUUGGUGUGCUCCAGCUGUAUCGACGGGAAAAUAUUGACGUCUGGGAACAAAAUGGAAGGUAAAUAAGAGUAUUGGCAGAAAGGCGGUUAAUGUGAUGAACUAUGGGAUCUGGCUUGAGCAAAGAAAGAAACAAGAUCAGGAAGGGGUUAGAAGGUUGGGGUGAAAAGAAGGCUUUUUAGGCCUGAUUCUCUUAAGGACUUCAGAGUAUGGACAUAACCAAGUGGGAAAACUAGUCACUGUGGUAAGACAGUAAUAUAUUUGAGUUGAAAACUGUAUAGAUGUCCCAGUCAUGAGUCACCAUCCCAAUUUUGAGAUGGUGGUAUUCUGGACUAGCAUAGUUAGCAAUGGGUUUGGGAGUGGGGAAUUGAAGAGAUCUGGAUCCAGGUGAAAGCAUCUAGAUCCAGGUGAAAGCAUAAUCACAGGAAUGAGCUGCUAAAACAGAAAAGACUCAGAUCACAGGAAUUGAGGAGGUCAAGGAGCUGUGAGGCUGGAGUAUUGAAUAAUCCCUCCCCACUGAUUUUUUCUGGGGGCAAAUUUUUUUAUGACAAGUAGUAGAUUGUGAUAAGGUGCUAAAAGUUUGACAAAUGAGGCAAUGACUAGAGCAUAGGUUGUCUAUAAGCCUCUGAGGGCAGGGAUAUUAUCUCUCGUCCUCACCACUAUCAC